GUCGGCCAUAUCAAGUUGAAACACUUGUUCACGUACGAUCAACGAAGUUAAGCAACGCCAAGCUUGGUCAGUAACAUAGAUGGGUGACCUCUCGAGAAUUCCAGGUAUUGCAAG